ACUCAAAUGAAUUGACGGGGACCCGCACAAGCGGUGGAUGAUGUGGUUUAAUUUGACGAUACGCGGAGAACCUUACCCAGGCUUGACAUCCUAGGAAUCCUUGAGAAAUCAGGGAGUGCCUUCGGGAGCCUAGUGACAGGCGCUGCAUGGCCGUCGUCAGCUCGUGUCGUGAGAUGUUGGGUUAAGUCCCGCAACGAGCGCAACCCUUGUCGUAUGUUGUAUUUUUCAUGCGAGACUGCCCGGGCCAACCGGGAGGAAGGUGGGGAUGACGUCAGGUCAGCAUGGCCCUUACGCCUGGGGCUACACACGUCAUACAAUGGCCGGUACAACGCGCCGCGAACCCGCGAGGGGGAGCUAAUCGCACCAAAACCGGUCUCAGUUCGGAUUGCAGGCUGCAACUCGCCUGCAUGAAGUCGGAAUCGCUAGUAAACGUGGGUCAGCAUACCACGUUGAAUACGUUCCCGGGUCUUGUACACACCGCCCGU
rnacentral:rRNA from 1 species